rfam:Schistosoma curassoni strain Dakar, Senegal genome assembly, scaffold: SCTD_scaffold0000020
GCACUGCUGAGGAGUCGCCCAAUAGGACGAAACGGCCGUCCAGUGC